GUCUGUUCAUCCUAACUGUUGGUAGUAUUGUCACCAUACAUGUGGAGCUCUAUUUUAUUUCAAACAUCAAAAAUUCAAACAUCUCUAGGAAGAAAAUAAGUUUUACUCUGAUAAUCUAAGUUAUGUUAAUAAUGUAUCACAGUAACAAGAGAUUAUUUUGGUGGGUUGUACUUUAGCAUGACCUUCUAUCUACUUUUGAAUGGAUUUGUUUAUGGGUCCUUAUGAGAGUGUAUGUGAAUAUGGGGUUAUUGAAGCUAUGUGGAUGAUUCCAUCUGAACUGUGGACAGCUAGAAGCAAAAGUGUUUUAAGAUACAGGUUUAUUUUAAUUUUUGUUUGUGACUACCUUGGUCAGAAUCUUAGUUAAGGUUCCUAUUGCUGUGAUUAACACCGUGGCACAAUCAACUUAGGCACAAAAAGAUUUGCUUCAUCACACAGUUUUGUAGUCCAUUGUCUAAGGAAGUCAAGGAAGAAACCUGGAGGCAAGAUCUGAUGGAGUCAUUUUCUCACUCACUUGAGGUUCCCUCCACCCACAUGACUCUAGCUUGGUACAAGUUGACAUGAAAACUAGCUAGCAAUCUUGUGAUAUGGAUAUUUUUUGUUUUUAAGUAUUAACACUUAGGAGAGAUGACUUAACUGGAGUGUGAUAAUUGAUCUUUUAAAUCCUGUUUUCAUUCUUAAACAAAAACCAAACCCACUAACCAACCAACCAACCAACCAACCAACCAAACCAAACCCUGAUCCUUAAGAUUGCAGGGCUUCAGAGGGAAAGUAGGCUAUGUUUCUGUUCUACUUGGAGUCUACCUGUUCAGUUGUUUUGUUGAGCAGAUGGAUGAUAAGGUAAAGUUAAAUUGAAAGAGUACUACAAGAAAAUGAUUACCAUAGAAGACAGUGAUGUUGCUGGUAAGAAUACAAUUCAAGAGGUUGGUUAUGUUUUUUUUGAACUUAGAGAAAAAAAGUCUUCAUUGGGUCUCUUUAAUGUGCUUGAUUUCAAGCUGCCAAACAUAGUUCUUAGAAACCUGGGAUGGAACACCUAUUUGUAACUUGAUGGUUCUUAAAUGCAUUUACCUCCCUUUUAGCCCACCACCCACCAGAGGUAGUGGGAAGAAAGGAUACGCGAGAAGGGAGCCUGUUUAGAAAGGUUCUUUGGAGCAACUACCAUCUGUGUUGUCUGGAAAUUGGCAUUUCAAUUCAUAGGUUAGCAGCGGCAGCUUGAUCCAUUAACAAACACUUCAUAGAUACACCAGCAAUCCAAAUCGGGAUAGCAAACAUAAAUCAGCAACAGUGGCACAACCUAGCAAAGACAGCCAGCCCUCAGCCUUGGCUUGAGUCAGCAGGAGGGACCAAGAGGAACACCAGAAGUUGGGCUUUGCCUCUCUCGGGGAAGAGUCGAGACCCACAAGGAUUGCACAGCUAGCUCUAUAAGCAGCCCAAACUCAGUCUCCAUUACUGUCUGUCCCUUGAGUCCUAUUUAUAUGCUCUAAACAUCACAUGUCCUCCAUGAGUCUUGUCUCAACAUGAGUUUCCCAGCUGACAUCACUGCCAAUCAGCCCGAGCAUGACGAAGUAGCAAGAAACUGCAACAUACCACCAGAAGGUUUUUGGUGUGGUUCUCUUUAUGGAGUCUGGACAAAUGCAGUUCAACUAUGCAGUGUAGAGCGGCCCAAUACAUAUCUGUUGUUAGCAGAGAAACCUUUGCUAACAUACUUGCUUUAGCAGAACAUCUUUUCUCCUGUGUCUGCUUCAGCUAAAUGUUCCUUCCCAAGUCUGCCUUAGUCUUUCACCUGUGUCUGCUUCAGCUACAUGUUCUUUCACUUGUUUGACCCAGCCAAACAUCAUCCAUUGACUUUCCAAAGAACCCUUAAGUUUCCACUUCACAUUUUCUUAGUUCUGCCCAGUCCAAAGUAGGGUGCUACAACACACAUAAACAUGGGCAUGGCAGUGCAGUAGGAUGAUAUCAAUAAGAAACUCUGUCCUUUCCUUUGUUUACAUACUUUAUAUCUAUGUGUGAGCAUUUUCCUUUUGUGAGCUGCAUCUUGUUAGGAGUGCAUACCAUAAACUUUACACCAAUAGUCUGAUUUGGCUCAUCUAUUUUAGGAUGACAUUUCUUUUACAUUAAUUCAGUUGGCUUCUUACCAGUAAUAUCAUUGCCAGGUUAUAGACCUACAGAUGGGAAAAUUUAUACUCAAAGUGAUUUAGUACUCUUCCCUCCUCCCAAAUUAUUACAUCAUAGCUAUUGACUAAAUCUGUUUUUUGAAGUAAGAUCUUUGGAUCUUUCUAUUAUUAAAUUACUUUCCUGUUGUAUGAGACCUGAAUUAAUAGGUAAAGAUUAAUAUCUACUAACACAUUAGAAAUUAUCCAAUGAAAGUCUAAUUAAUUCUUAAGGCUCAUUUGAAAUGUAAAUUAUGGAUACUAUAUGAGAGUUAGAAAGUUUGUGCUUAAUUUGUAUUAUUAACUGGGAUCAUUAUUUUAUGUAGGUUUGUUGUUAAUAUAUUUUUUAAAAGAUUUCUUUAUUUUAUUUAUAUGAGUACACUGUAGCUGUCUUCAGACACACCAAAAGAGGGCAUUGGAUUUCCAUUACAGAUGGUUGUGAGCAAACAUGUGGUUGUGGGAAUUCAACUCAAAGCCUCUAGAAGAGCAAGCAGUCAGUGCUGUUAACCACUGAGCCAUUUCUCUAGCCCCUGUUGUUAAUAUUUUUGACAGUCACCAAAACAGAACUAUUAACUCUUGUGAUUUUUUUCC
rnacentral:lncRNA from 1 species